GGGGAUAUGGCCGAGUGGUCUAAGGCGCUAGAAUCAGGUUUUAGCCUUUAUCUAGUCAUUAUAUGGCGUGGGUUCGAAUCCCACUGUCCUCA